AUUGAACGCUGGCGGCAUGCUUUACACAUGCAAGUCGAACGGUAACAGGCCGCAAGGUGCUGACGAGUGGCGAACGGGUGAGUAAUGCAUCGGAACGUGCCCAGUCGUGGGGGAUAACGCAGCGAAAGCUGCGCUAAUACCGCAUACGAUCUAUGGAUGAAAGCGGGGGACCGUAAGGCCUCGCGCGAUUGGAGCGGGCGAUGUCAGAUUAGGUAGUUGGUGGGGUAAAGGCUCACCAAGCCAACGAUCUGUAGCUGGUCUGAGAGGACGACCAGCCACACUGGGACUGAGACACGGCCCAGACUCCUACGGGAGGCAGCAGUGGGGAAUUUUGGACAAUGGGCGCAAGCCUGAUCCAGCAAUGCCGCGUGCAGGAAGAAGGCCUUCGGGUUGUAAACUGCUUUUGUCCGGAACGAAAAGGCUCUGGUUAAUACCUGGGGCUCAUGACGGUACCGUAAGAAUAAGCACCGGCUAACUACGUGCCAGCCGCCGCCGUAA
rnacentral:rRNA from 1 species